rnacentral:rRNA from 1 species
UACGAAGGGGGCUAGCGUUGUUCGGAAUUACUGGGCGUAAAGCGCGCGCAGGCGGUCUUCCGAGUCAGUGGUGAAAGCCCGGAGCUCAACUCCGGAACUGCCAUUGAAACUGUAAGACUUGAGGAUGAGAGAGGUGAGUGGAAUUCCCAGUGUAGAGGUGAAAUUCGUAGAUAUUCGCAAGAACACCAGUGGCGAAGGCGGCUCACUGGCCCGGUACUGACGCUGAGGUGCGAAAGCGUGGGGAGCAAACAGG